ACCAACAGACCCAAGUUCCCCAAAUCAGCUUAUUGCCACAAAGGGAGUAAAAUUCAGGGGCCAGAGCUGACCUUCUGUUCGCAUUUUCCUUGGAAAUGGGGAAGAAGUGCAACUGCCCCUGCCCCCACCCCAGGAGCAGCCGCAAAUGACACUGGGAUCUGGAAUCGAGCUAAGGGGUCACUAUGGUGUCGGCCCGAGACCAUGAGUCUGCAGGCCGGCUGGCACAGGGGCACAUGGCCGGGGUGCCCAGUUAAAACAGAGAGACCGAGAGGGGAGGCACGCUGUGUUUCAAGAGCGGCAGACUUGCACUUCCGAGCAUGGGAAUUUAAAAACAAAACAAAAGAUGUGAAGAUAAAGGAGAAAAAAAGAAACGCAGGUGAAAGCCUGAAGUCCCCUCCGUUGUCGUCACCUGUGACAUUCAGCACCCACAAGAAGAACGCUGUCCCCAGAAGCUGCCGUGCGAAGUCUGAGGUCCCAUGAAAGGAAUUAAGCGGGAGACUUUGAGGAGAAGGGACACGGGACAGGCUUGAAUGGAGCGGCUGCCUCGCUCAGCCCAGGCCUCUCCUGACGGGAAUGAUGAAGUGGUGGGGAGACAGCGGAUUGAAAGGAAGGCGGCUCAGCGGGGAGGCUCAGAUUGCCUUCCAGGACCACAGGCGAGCUGGGAACCAGGAGAGGAAACGGCGAGAUUGACAGAGCCUGCGUCUUUGUCACCCGAAGAUGGACGCUCAGACUUCUGUGCUGUCUCUCCUGUCCCCCCA